GGGUGAGCAGUGAGCGAAUAGAUGGUGGAGCAGCAACUGCGAAUGCUCAGGAUAUCUACAAUGUGAGAACAUGGAGGACAGAUCACGUUUAUAAAAGCUGUCUUAAGGAAUGCUUCAAGAGAUCGAGACCAUCCUGGCCAACAUGGUGAAACCCCAUCUCUACUAAAAAUACAAAAAAUUAGCCAGGCAUGGUGCCAUGUGCUGUAGUCCCAGCUACUUGGGAAGGCUGAGGCAGAAGAAUCACUUGAACCUGGGAGGUGGAGGUUUCAGAGAGCCGAGAUCACGCCACUGCACUCCAGCCUGGCAACAGAGCAAGACUCUGUCUAAAAACAAAUAAAAAAUAAAAUGCCACAGAAGUGCCAAGACAAUUCAAUGGGGAAGGAAUAUUCUUUCCAGCAAAUAGUGCUGAAACAACUGGAUACUGACAUGCAAAAGAUUAAAGUUGGACUGCUGCCUCACGCCAUACACAAAUAUUAACUCAUUUGGAUAAAACACCUACAUGUAAAAGCUAAAAUUAAAAAACUCUUAGAAGAAAAUAUGGGUGCAAAUCUUCAUGACCUAUGGAUUAGGCAAUGAUUUCUCAGAAAUAAUGCCAAAAGCACAAGCAACAAAAGAAAAAAAAACUGAUAAAUUGGACUUCAUCAAAAUGUAAAACUUUUGCACUGCAAAAGACACCAAGAAGGUGAAAAGAGAACUCAGAAUGGGAGAAAAUAUUUGCAAAACACAUAUCUGGACUUGUGCCCAGAAUAUAUAAAGAACUCUUACAACUCAACCAUAAAAAGAAAAAUAACCCAAUUAAAAAAAUAGUCAAACUUUGAAUAGACUUUUCUCCAAAAAACACAGACAUAUGGCAAUAAGCACACGAAAAGAUGUUCAAUAUUAUUACUCAUUGGGGAACUGAAAAUCAAAAUGAGAUACCACUUUAU